CAUUGAACGCUGGCGGCAUGCCUUACACAUGCAAGUCGAACGGCAGCACGGGAGCAAUCCUGGUGGCGAGUGGCAAACGGGUGAGUAAUAUAUCGGAACGUGCCCAGUCGUGGGGGAUAACGUAGCGAAAGCUACGCUAAUACCGCAUACGAUCUAUGGAUGAAAGCGGGGGAUCGCAAGACCUCGCGCGAUUGGAGCGGCCGAUAUCAGAUUAGCUAGUUGGUGGGGUAAAGGCCCACCAAGGCGACGAUCUGUAGCUGGUCUGAGAGGACGACCAGCCACACUGGAACUGAGACACGGUCCAGACUCCUACGGGAGGCAGCAGUGGGGAAUUUUGGACAAUGGGCGCAAGCCUGAUCCAGCAAUGCCGCGUGCAGGACGAAGGCCUUCGGGUUGUAAACUGCUUUUGUACGGAACGAAAAGGUCUGCCCUAAUACGGCGGGCUCAUGACGGUACCGUAAGAAUAAGCACCGGCUAACUACGUGCCAGCAGCCGCGGUAAUACGUAGGGUGCAAGCGUUAAUCGGAAUUACUGGGCGUAAAGCGUGCGCAGGCGGUUUUGUAAGACAGAUGUGAAAUCCCCGGGCUCAACCUGGGACCUGCAUUUGUGACUGCAAAGCUAGAGUACGGCAGAGGGGGAUGGAAUUCCGCGUGUAGCAGUGAAAUGCGUAGAUAUGCGGAGGAACACCGAUGGCGAAAGGCAAUCCCCUGGGCCUGUACUGACGCUCAUGCACGAAAGCGUGGGGA
rnacentral:rRNA from 1 species